GUGAGAUUAGCUCAGUUGGUUAGAGCGCUGGUUUGUGGCACCAGAGGCCGUGGGUUCAACUCCCAUAUCUCACCCCA
rnacentral:tRNA from 1 species